rnacentral:tRNA from 1 species
AGCCUUGUAGUCAAAGUUUAUGGCAUCAAAUUGCAAAUUUGAAGGUGGGGACACCCCAAGGCUU